GCUAUACUGCAGUUGAACGGUGAAGGUUGGCUUGGUCCGUGGGACGGAGCCGAACGGGUGAGUAACACGUGAGCGACCUGCCCCUGACUCUGGGAUAAGCGCUGGAAACGGCGUCUAAUACUGGAUAUGUGACGUGACCGCAUGGUCUGCGNCUGGAAAGAAUUUCGGUUGGGGAUGGGCUCGCGGCCUAUCAGCUUGUUGGUGAGGUAAUGGCUCACCAAGGCGUCGACGGGUAGCCGGCCUGAGAGGGUGACCGGCCACACUGGGACUGAGACACGGCCCAGACUCCUACGGGAGGCAGCAGUGGGGAAUAUUGCACAAUGGGCGCAAGCCUGAUGCAGCAACGCCGCGUGAGGGAUGACGGCCUUCGGGUUGUAAACCUCUUUUAGCAGGGAAGAAGCGAAAGUGACGGUACCUGCAGAAAAAGCGCCGGCUAACUACGUGCCAGCAGCCGCGGUAAUACGUAGGGCGCAAGCGUUAUCCGGAAUUAUUGGGCGUAAAGAGCUCGUAGGCGGUUUGUCGCGUCUGCUGUGAAAUCCGGAGGCUCAACCUCCGGCCUGCAGUGGGUACGGGCAGACUAGAGUGCGGUAGGGGAGAUUGGAAUUCCUGGUGUAGCGGUGGAAUGCGCAGAUAUCAGGAGGAACACCGAUGGCGAAGGCAGAUCUCUGGGCCGUAACUGACGCUGAGGAGCGAAAGGGUGGGGAGCAAACAGGCUUAGAUACCCUGGUAGUCCACCCCGUAAACGUUGGGAACUAGUUGUGGGGUCCAUUCCACGGAUUCCGUGACGCAGCUAACGCAUUAAGUUCCCCGCCUGGGGAGUACGGCCGCAAGGCUAAAACUCAAAGGAAUUGACGGGGACCCGCACAAGCGGCGGAGCAUGCGGAUUAAUUCGAUGCAACGCGAAGAACCUUACCAAGGCUUGACAUAUACGAGAACGGGCCAGAAAUGGUCAACUCUUUGGACACUCGUAAACAGUGG
rnacentral:rRNA from 1 species